rnacentral:tRNA from 1 species
CACUAAGAAGCUAAAUAGGAAACAGCGUUAGCCUUUUAAGCUAAAGAAUGGUGAACUCCACCCACCCUUAGUGA